rnacentral:rRNA from 1 species
UUACUACUUGGAUACCUGUGGUAAUUCUAGAGCUAAUACAUGCUAAAAACCUCGACUUCGGAAGGGGUGUAUUUAUUAGAUAAAAAACCAAUGCCCUUCGGGGCUCCUUGGUGAAUCAUAAUAACUUAACGAAUCGCAUGGCCUUGCGCCGGCGAUGGUUCAUUCAAAUUUCUGCCCUAUCAACUUUCGAAGUGAGGGUAGUGGCCUCACUUGGUUUCUACGGGUAACGGGGAAUUAGGGUUCGGUUCCGGAGAGGGAGCCUGAGAAACGGCUACCACAUCCAAGGAAGGCAGCAGGCGCGCAAAUUACCCAAUCCCGACACGGGGAGGUAGUGACAAUAAAUACUGAUGAUGAGCUCCUUUGGGUUUAUCAAUUGGAAUGAGUACAAUUUAAAUCCCUUAACGAGGAACAAUUGGAGGGCAAGUCUGGUGCCAGCAGCCGCGGUAAUUCCAGCUCCAAUAGCGUAUAUUAAAGUUGUUGCAGUUAAAAAGCUCGUAGUUGAAACUUGGGUCUGGCUGACCGGUCCGCCUAACCGCGUGCACUGGCUCGGCCGGGCCUUUCCUUCUGGGGAACCUCAUGCCCUUCAGUGGGUGUGUAGGGGAACCAGGACUUUUACUUUGAAAAAAUUAGAGUGUUCAAAGCAGGCCUAUGCUCGAAUACAUUAGCAUGGAAUAAUAGAAUAGGACGUGUGGUUCUAUUUUGUUGGUUUCUAGGACCGCCGUAAUGAUUAAUAGGGAUAGUCGGGGGCGUCUGUAUUCAAUUGUCAGAGGUGAAAUUCUUGGAUUUAUUGAAGACAAACUACUGCGAAAGCAUUCGCCAAGGAUGUUUUCAUUAAUCAGUGAACGAAAGUUAGGGGAUCGAAGACGAUCAGAUACCGUCGUAGUCUUAACCAUAAACUAUGCCGACUAGGGAUCGGACGGUGUUAUUAUUUUGACCCGUUCGGCACCUUACGAGAAAUCAAAGUUUUUGGGUUCUGGGGGGAGUAUGGUCGCAAGGCUGAAACUUAAAGAUAUUGACGGAAGGGCACCACCAGGAGGUUCGACGCCUGGUAACAACCACAUUAGCCCCCGAGUUCCUCCGGACGCUCGGGCGGUGAGGCCUUUGAAGUGCGUGGAUCCUAGCUCGGCUUCCCGAGAGGUACCCGCAGCCAGUCUCGUCUGGCCCACAGAUCAAGUGGCGGCCGGUAUCCUCAGAGGAGGGUACUCAUGAUAUGAUCGGCCCCCCGGCCUCCAGCCGGGGGAUUGCAGCGCGUGGAGCCUGCGGCUUAAUUUGACUCAACACGGGGAAACUCACCAGGUCAGGACAAAGUAAGGAUUGACAGAUUGAAAGCUCUUUCUUGAUUUUUUGGGUGGUGGUGCAUGGCCGUUCUUAGUUGGUGG